rnacentral:rRNA from 1 species
UACGAAGGGGGCUAGCGUUGCUCGGAAUCAUUGGGCGUAAAGGGUGCGUAGGCGGCGCGGUAAGUCGGGUGUGAAAUCUUGGAGCUUAACUCCGAAACUGCAUUCGAUACUGCCGUGCUUGAGGACUGGAGAGGAGACUGGAAUUUACGGUGUAGCGGUGAAAUGCGUAGAUAUCGUAAGGAAGACCAGUGGCGAAGGCGGGUCUCUGGACAGUUCCUGACGCUGAGGAGCGAAAGCGUGGGGAGCGAACAGG